UUACGGCCACAUCACAUUGAAAUUCCAGUUCCCAUAUGAUCACCGAAGUUAAGCAAUAUCAAGCCUGAUCAUUACCUCAAUGGGUGACCACUUGGGAAUACCAA